AAUAAUUCUUUAAAGCUGGAAGACGCAAGUUUCUAUCAUUCUCUACGAAGUUCUAACCUAGAUCUUGAGAGAAGCUGGAAGACGGGGAUGAUUUUUCUAGAAGGAUCCCCUGCCCCCAGUCCCUACCCCCGCUUCUGAUUCAGAAGCUCCUCUGGGGCCUCCCUGGCACCCUGCAUGUGUCUACAAUUCAACCCCGACCACACUUUGCUGCAAUGUCACUGGUUCACACUCGGGAUCCCCAAGAGACUAUGAGCUUCUUGAAGGCAGAGCUAUGUCCCAUUCAUUUCUGCACCCCAAGCACCCAGAAAAGGCCAUGGCAGGGAAUUUGACCCAAAAAAGCACUUUGAUGACUGAGCAAUGAAGUGACUGGGUGGGCAGAGCUUAGGCUGAAGGAGGCGGGCUGAGCUGCACCUGGGGUGGAGAGGGCCUGAGUCCACUCCUAGUUAAGGUCUGUCAAACCCAUCUGCACCGCUCAUCUGCCGCAGGGGAGGCUGUGAGGGGGCAGAAGCAGCUCCUCUCCCUGAGGGCUAGCCAUCUGGAGGGAGACCUACAGACCUAAUGUUUAUGCUGCAUGCUGGAAUAGAAGGAAUCGUGUGGUGCUGAGGGAACCUGUCCCCUAACCCAGACCAGAGGAGGUCCUUCCAUAAGAGUUCCCUAGAGAAGGUGGCACCAGAGCCAAUUCAUUCAUUCAUUCACUCGAGAGAUAUUUACUAAGCACUCACUGAGUGCCAGCACUAUUGUCAGUCCUGGGGAUCCAAGAGUGAACCAAAUAAAGAGGGCCAGUGCCUUCGUGAAGGUUACAUCCUAGUGUAAGAAACAAGUAAUAAACAAGUGUGAAAC
rnacentral:lncRNA from 1 species